CGAACGGGUGAGUAACACGUGGGCAACCUGCCCAAAGAGGGGGAUAACACUUGGAAACAGGUGCUAAUACCGCAUAACCAUAGUUACCGCAUGGUAGCUAUGUAAAAGGUGGCUAUGCUACCGCUUUUGGAUGGGCCCGCGGCGCAUUAGCUAGUUGGUGGGGUAAAGGCUUACCAAGGCAAUGAUGCGUAGCCGAACUGAGAGGUUGAUCGGCCACAUUGGGACUGAGACACGGCCCAAACUCCUACGGAAGGCAGCAG
rnacentral:rRNA from 1 species